UAAAAAUACGGAUGUUUUCCUUGCUUGAGGGAAAUUGUGAUUAUAACGAAGGUUACAAUACUGUAUUAUAAAAUACAAUAUUACAAUAUAGAUCAAAAUAAUCAUUAUUAUCAUUUUGGCCAUAAACAUGCAGCUCUAACUCAUGCCAUACCAUCAUUCAAAAAUAUACCCCAAAGUAUAUCGUACUUUAGUACUAAUAUGAAGUACUUCCUGAAAUAAUGUUGAUGUUUGGCGGUAGUAAUUCACGAUCUGUCACUACGCUGCCAGCAAAGAUAGAUGAACAAGGUUACAUAAUUUGUCGUCCAAAAAAAAAAAAAGAUCAUUUUGCAUAGCACACCUGAUGAUUUCCCACAACACACUAAUGUGUUGUGGCACAGUGGUUGGGAAUCACUGCCUUAGUGGGUUCAACUUUUGAGUGUGUGUGUGUGUGUGUGUGUGUGUGUGUGUGUGUGUGUUUACCAAAACUGCCUUUAUGAGUUUUUAUUAUUCAUAAUAAUUAAUUAAACUUGAUUUUAGAACCUCUCUAUUUAUGUGUAUCAUCGAUGUGGUAUUUGCCUUGUAUUAAAAUGAAUUAAGAACA